AGGGGCCUAGAAGAGAGGAGGGAUGGUGGAAGCUACGGAGUGUCUGUUUGUCUGUCCUGGUCCCAGCAGACUCUGCCCCAUGUGGACCCUUCAAUGUGGUCUUAGUUUCCUUAGCAGACUCGUGCCCGAUGUUUGAAGCUCCCAACCCUGUGCCUGGAGUAUUCGGCCAUUGCGGAGGUUUUUCUCUCUAUGAAUGCUCCUUAUAAGGGACGUUCCUUGCUACGCAAACUGCAGAGAUGAGAUCGACUCAGGGUCUCCUGAUUUCUGUAGAGCAAGAGAUAGACCAAAAGUACUCACGGAGAGAAAAGGGAACACUUCUCUAAGGCUGUGUGUGCUUCAAAAUAGAGGGCUGGAGGGAUGGCUCAGCGGUUAAGAGCACUGACUGCUCUUCUAGAGGUCCUGAGUUCAAAUCCCAGCAACCACGUGGUGACUCACAACCAUCUGUAAUGGGAUCUGGUGCCCUCUUCUGGUGUGUCUGAAGACAGCAAAUAAAUCUUU
rnacentral:lncRNA from 1 species